rnacentral:misc_RNA from 1 species
UCAAACUUGGUCAUUUAGAGGAAGUAAAAGUCGUAACAAGGUUUCCGUAGGUGAACCUGCGGAAGGAUCAUUACUGUAGGGAGGCUCCGGCCGCCAGCCGCGAAGCAUCCCGAGCUUGGAGAAAUCCAGCUGUCCCUGUAUCUUCAGCACUUCUUCGUUUCCUCGGUAGGCACGCCCGCCGGGAGACCGCCCAUAACCCCUUGCAAUUAGCAGUUUCUGUCAGGAAUAUCGAAAUUAUCACAACUUUCAACAAUGGAUCUCUUGGCUCUGGCAUCGAUGAAGAACGCAGC